rnacentral:tRNA from 1 species
GAAAUAUAUAUAUAUAUAUAUAAUUAAGCUGCUAACUUAAUUUAUAGUGAAUAAAAUCAUUAAUAUUUCU